rnacentral:lncRNA from 1 species
GGAAUUAUACCAAGAUAUUUUAUAUUAUUCAUGGCUAUUUUGAAGGGUGUUUUUUCGCUAAUUUCUUUCUCUGUCCAUUUCUCAUUUGUAUAAUAAUGGAGGUCUAAUUGCCUUUAAUACCAGCAUUCAGUUCAGUCAGUUCAAUUGGGUGGAGUUGAGUUUAAUGCUGUCAGUGAGUUGGGAGUCAGUCAGCAUAGGAGGGAGUGCAGUGGAGUGCAGUUCAGUCCCAUUCAGUUUGUGCCGAAGAGGCAGUUGAAACACAGAGAGUAAGGAGCCAAAUGAUUAGAACAAAUUGCUUGAGUUGUUUGAAGCCAAGCAGAGAAAUUCAGUGAGAAGCUGAGAGAAGCCAAAUUGAAUCAAUCAGGUAGGAGAGCCGUUUGGUCCAGAAUAGCUGAAUUGAACCAGCCAGCAACAGUUCAGAAAAAACACUAGAAAGAGUGAGCUAAUUCAGUGCUUCCCAAGUUGAGAUUACAGACCCGUACUGGCUGAUUUUGUGUGUCAACUUGAUGAAAGCUGGAGGUGUUACAGAGAAAGGAGACUUCCUUGAGGAAAUGCCUCCAUGAGAUCCAAAUAUGCUGGACUUUAUGUGGACAAUGGUGUCAGUAUCAAGGAAGCACCAAAAUGACGUUACCCACCAGGAGACAAAAAGCCUGC